rnacentral:lncRNA from 1 species
GUCCGCGGCGGAGCUCGGGGCUGCGGUCGGCGGGAGCUCACCGGCCUCACGUGGGUCGGCCCCCGGGCUGCAGCUGGCCCCUUUAAAGCUGCAUCGCCCCGGUGGGCUGAGUGGAUACUGGGCCUCAGAGCAACAGGAAAACUCGAUACUGACAGAGAUUUGUACUUUCUGGACCAAACCCCAAUGAGCUGACCUUCUGCAUAUUGGUGAUACAGUUCACACAUGGAAAAAAAGAUGCAUGGAAAUUGAAUCAAUCAACGCUGCUGGAAUGAGGAAGGUUUUGCUGACUCCAAACUACAGACACUGACAAGAAACAGCAAUAGGAAAUCUGUUCCAGCCUUUCAUCUAACCAUGAAGCAACUGCAUUUAAGAAUAUUAUGAUAAGGUGAAAGCAAAAUAAGAGGCAUUGUAUAAAAUGUACAUAAAACAGAAAACCACAGAUACAAGGGAUAAAAAUAUGCAUAAUGUGACUGACGAUUUUUUUUAAGACUUCAUUUGGACAUAUCAUAUUGUUAGGGUAGCUUGAUUUUUCACAUUUCUUUGAUGGUUUUCCAGGCUAGCCACCAUUUUACAGCAUGUGAAGUUGUAUCAUAAUGCACCACCAUAAAUGCUGUUCCUUCCUGUGCAGUGAGACUGCAUUGCAGAAUGAAUGAGAACAGACCUUUUGUUUCUUUUCUUCC